rnacentral:rRNA from 1 species
UUGACCUCGAUCAGGUAGAAUACCAGCCGAACUUAAGCAUAUCAAUAACCGGAGGA